GAUGAACGCUGGCGGCGUGCCUAAUACAUGCAAGUCGAGCGAAUGGAUUAAGAGCUUGCUCUUAUGAGGUUAGCGGCGGACGGGUGAGUAACACGUGGGUAACCUGCCCAUAAGACUGGGAUAACUCCGGGAAACCGGGGCUAAUACCGGAUAACAUUUUGAACCGCAUGGUUCGAAAUUGAAAGGCGGCUUCGGCUGUCACUUAUGGAUGGACCCGCGUCGCAUUAGCUAGUUGGUGAGGUAACGGCUCACCAAGGCAAAGAUGCGUAGCCGAGCUGAGAGGGUGAUCGGCCACACUGGGACUGAGACACAGCCCAGACUCCGACAGGAGGGAGCAGUAGGAAAUCUUCCGCAAUGGGCGAAAGGUUGACGGGGCAACGCCGCGUGAGGGAUGAAGGCUUUCGGGUCGUAAAACUCGGUUGUGAGGGGAGAACAAGUGCGAGUUGAAUAAGCUGGCACCGUGACGGUACCUAACCAGAAAGCCACGGCUAACUACGUGCCAGCAGCCGCGGUAA
rnacentral:rRNA from 1 species